UGACCUGAGCUGAGGGCAUACACCAAAGUGACUGAGCCACCCAGGCACUCCUCCCCACAUUGAUUUUCAUGUGGUGCUUGCCUUUUAUCACACUGAAAGUCCCGCUUCGUGACGAUACAAGAACAUAAGCCAUCAAGUUGCAAUGUUGCAACUAUGAACUACCUCUGCAUCUUUGUGUUUCCCUCAGAAACUUGAACAAUUCCAUGGUGGUCCUGCGUGACUUCACUGCAGAGCCUUAGAGUGCCUCAACAUGCAGUUCAAGCAACACUGUUUCACUUCCAACUUCAAAACAGAUCUACCAUCCUACCUCCCCCUUAUCGUGAGUUCAAGAAGAAUCCGCCCUUUAAGAACCCAGAUGGAGGCUCAUGUGGUCCUCAGAGGCAAAGAAGAACUCCCCUCCAAAGAUCAGAGGCUGCUGUUGGGGCACAGAUGGUAACUUUACUUUCCUCCCUCUAGUAUCUUCCAUUUGGAACUAACCCUCAAGCUAACCACUGUUCUCACUACUCUUCUCAGCCAUCUUUCACCCCCAGGGAAAGCCCCGCCUCCUGAGUCCCCUCUUCUCCUGACCUUCAUCCAGCAGUUCAAGGCAGGGACUCUGAAAUGCCUAGGAGAAUGAUGGUUCUUCUUCUCAUUGGUGGUCUUUGCAAUUCUGUUGCAACAAGGAAACGUUUGUGCAAAAAAUGUAACUGCAGUUUUAGAAUCACUAAAACAAGCAAACAGCAAACAAGUUAGGUCACGCAAAGGCCUAUCUGAAAUUUCCGAAGGAAUUUUCGGGUUACAAGUUUUUCUUGAGAACAAUAGCUCCCAGAAAACUUCUUCCUGGGCUCCAGGCUCCCACUGACCAUUCAUAAAAAUCAGCUGCAGGUAAGAAAGGGCCCAUAAAAUAGCAUAUCUUCCCAUCCUACUGUCCACGUCACAGCUAUAGAAGAAACGGGAAAAAUAGAAAAUCUCUUCCUUUUUUCUCAGCAGUAAUAUAUUUUCUGAACAGGAGGAUCUGGAUUCAAUUUUUUGUCUGUGCAAACAUAAAACUAUUUCCUGGCUGAGUAUGAAUCCUCUCCUGCUUUUGCACACUCGUCUGGAAGACAUCCCACACCCUUCUUCUAUAGAAGCCCAGAGCUGAAAGGGCAUGUAAGGAUGGCAGGGUCAGGCUGAUGAUGGUGAUAUUCAACUAACUCUGGACACGUCUGGAUGCCAGGCGCCCCCACCUCUGGGAUCUUUAUGUAGGAUCUGGAGUUGGGGAACCAUGCUGUGCUACACAGCCCAGAUCCCCCUUCAGGAAUGCAGGACUUAUCUCCCCAGCUUCUGGGAAUGCUGCCAUGACCCUCGGCUGCCAGUCCUCUUUGGAGAAUGCUUUGGCUGAAGAAAACCUCCAGGACAGCCUGUACUGGAACAAGACAUUUUGUUCCUGUGGGAGAACAUGACUCUGCCUGCUACGAUGGGUAUUGUGCCAUCAGAGAUGAAGGCAUCGAGUCAGAUGGAAACUGAGUUUCCACGUGAGAAGUUCCUAUAAAUAUUGGACAGGUAAAAAAGAAACAUAAAGUGGGGAAACAGAGGUUCCAUCUAGUGCAUUUCUCUUCUGACAAAGAUUUGAUAUUUAAUUUUAUUGCCAGUCAAGUUCAUGUGACAUUGGAAAGAUUCUUUCUGGACCUCAAUUACGCGUUUGUAAAAAUUAAAAGGUGAAGUGGCGCCUGGGUGGCUCAGUGGGUUAAGUGUCUGCCUUCAGCUCAGGUCAUGAUCUCAAGGUCCUGGAAUCUAGUUCCACAUCGAGCUCACUGAUCAGUGGGGUGUUUGCUUCUCCCUCUCCCUCGGCCCCUCCCCCUGCUU